AGGCUGUUUCUUCCCCCACAGGUCUCUGUCUCCUCUCACUUGGUUCUGAGCCAGAUCAGGACUUUCCUUCCUCCAGCAGCAUCAACCUGCGUGGUGUGGGGUCCUGUCUGAAGCCAGAGCCAAGGGGACUGCGGGAAGGCGCCGAAUUCCACGUAUUAAGAAAUGUCGGAGAGUGAGGGGUGGUGCCCAGAAGUCUGGAUUCUCUCAAACCUGCCAUUUGCUCCGUGUGCAACCUUGACAAGUCACAAGACCCCCUGAGCCUCAGUUCCCACACCUGUAAAGUGGGGGUGUGGCUGAGGCCCUGUAUUCAUUCAGAUUCUUUGGGUGCAAGCAACAGACACUGAUUUUUUCUCAUCCAGCAAAGAGAGUUUACUGCAGGCAGGAGGUGUUCUGUGGAGUGAGAGGAGAGCAGGGAGCGCAGGAUCAGGGCGGCCUUGGGGACCCGGGCAGCAGGAGGGGGCGCUUGCCCUUACUCGACUCACUCCAGUGCCAUGGCCCCACGUCUUAGCACCUUUAUGUCUCAGUUUCCAAAUCCUAGGGGGCAGACUCUUUGGCUCAGCCACUCAGAUGUCUUUCCUGGGAGUGGGGUGGGUACCAUAGAUGUGGUCACUCAGGAUCAGUCUCUGCCUCGGUGGCUACUUCCAGAGGAGGGGGCGCACAGAGCGCCAGAUGGCCAUGGUGUGGUGGCCACAGUGCCGUAAGGUGAACUACAAAUGGAGUGCACCUGUCCUCCUAGGGCCCAAAGCCAAGGCAGCCUGGGGACCUGACCUCUCUACUCCCAUCUGACUCCUCGCUCCUGACUCCCAGCCUCCCUUCCAGCCUCUCACUCACCUCGGGGACCAAUGCUUGAGCUGGUCCUUUUGGGAACACACUUCAGCUGUGGUCCACAUUUGCCCUCAGGAUGCUGCUGCUUCUGUAACCAGCAGGCUGGAGGAAGAUUCAUGGGGACCAUCUUAGGCAUUUUCCAGGACAAGAACUUGCCAGACCAAGAAUUCGACUGGAGACGUGGGGCCAAGGGCAAUGACUCCACCCAAGGCUGCUGCUUUCUGAGUUGAUGUGACCUGUAGCUCUUGGAUUGAAGCGCCAAGGACAGGAUUGUGCAUUCUUCCCAAUCAAGGUCUUACCAAU
rnacentral:lncRNA from 1 species